GGCUAACUACGUGCCAGCAGCCGCGGUAAUACGUAGGGUGCAAGCGUUGUCCGGAAUUAUUGGGCGUAAAGAGCUCGUAGGCGGUUUGUCGCGUCUGCUGUGAAAAUCCGAGGCUCAACCUCGGACCUGCAGUGGGUACGGGCAAACUAGAGUGCGGUAGGGGAGAUUGGAAUUCCUGGUGUAGCGGUGGAAUGCGCAGAUAUCAGGAGGAACACCAAUGGCGAAGGCAGAUCUCUGGGCCGUAACUGACGCUGAGGAGCGAAAGCGUGGGGAGCAAACAGG
rnacentral:rRNA from 11 species